rnacentral:sRNA from 1 species
CUGCUUGUCGGAGAAGACUGGUCUUUGCCACUGCAGCAGUGAAGUUGGCGCGGAUUUUUUGUUGCGUUUCCUCUUUCUGAGUACUCUAAAGUUAACCAGUGUGUCAUUAUCAAGGUUGAAUCAAGAUUUCCCCAUGUGAUCAUACCCACCAGACAUACGGCUGCCUAUUUGAGUACUGGAAUAAGGAAGACAAAAAUGUUGAGGAAAGCAAGGAAGACAACUGGGAGCAGAACGUUGAGCAGAAAGAAAGUUGGCCGUCUU